AUAACUGCCAGUUUCCCUAUGGAGAGGGCAGGAGCUGUGUGUAUGUUUUGGAGAGUAGAGAUUGAUGCUCCAGGGGUGCUCCAUGUCUCCAAGAUGGAUGAGCUUCAUAGGAAGAGGAGACAGAGCAGGCUUUGACAUGUGAUAUUCCGCAUCACCUCUGGUCUCUACCAGCAGGAGAACCACCACUAGAUGAGGCUCCUAGACUUCACACCUCCAGGGCCCUGAACCAAAAUCAACUUCUUUACAAA